rnacentral:rRNA from 1 species
ACCCGCGGUAAUUCCAGCUCCAAUAGUGUAUAUUAAAGUUGUUGCAGUUAAAAAGCUCGUAGUUGGAUUUCUGGGAGGGUGCCGAUGUCCACUUAACGUGUGCGCAGCGGCGCCCUCUCAUCCUUCUGUUAGCGUCUCUUGGCAUUCAUUUGCUGGUGGCGGGCUCAGAUAUUUUACCUUGAGAAAAUUAGAGUGUUUCAGGCAGGCUAGGCCGGAAUACAUUAGCAUGGAAUAAUGGAAUAGGACUACGGUCUCUAUGUUGGUUUGAGGGACUGCAGUAAUGAUUAAUAGGGAUAGUUGGGGGCAUUAGUACUUAACUGUCAGAGGUGGAUUUCUCAGAUUUGUUAAAGACUGACUUAUGCGAAAGCAUUUGUCAAGGAUGUUUUCAUUGAUCAAGAACGAAAGU